ACAUAAAAACAUAAUGGGGUUUGCUGCGUGGGAGAGAAAAAAAUUAAGCUGGUUUCUGGGAAUAAAUAAAAUGCAUAAAUUUUGUAACUAAAGCAUGACUUUUUGUUGCUCUUACCUAGGAGAUGGAUCGAGCUAUUUGUGCAACCAGUGUUCUUCAUCAGGCUGACCAGGUUGUCAGGCGAAUAGUGUCUCAAACAAUGAAAAAUGCUAAAGAUAAUAAUCUUGCUUCGUGUGAGAUGAAGAGCUUGGCAGAGGAACUAAACCGGCUGAAGGUGGAAUUCUUAGAAGACUUAAGACACAAAUCUAAUGAAAAAAAUCAAUGUUGUGUACAAAAUAAUACAUUCAGUAUGAAUAUAACAUCUUCAUUCAGCCAAGGGGCAGAUGACAUUAUUAAGAAGUAUUUAAAUAAAUUGUAGUUUUUCCCUCUUUCUUUCUUUUUUGCUUAUAAAAGGUAUGACAUGUUGGAUGAACAAGAACAUUAAGAGUGAAAUAUCAUGACAUGGUUUUGUUGUAUACAGCCUAAUUCCCCUCAGAAAGUUUAAGCCCAUGUUCUUUUGGAUAGUGUUUAAAUUUGUCCCAUCAAAGGAUACUGUGUAACUUAGAUCUGGCAUUUUCUAUGCUAGUUAAAAGAAAGAGUCUCAUUCCUAGUUAAGCUCAUAUUGCGGGGGAAAGGAGUCCAGGUCCCUAUUCUUUCUCAGCCUCAGUAUGGCUGAAAAAACCUUUUACCAAAGUACAUGGGAACAAUUUUAUUUCUUACCUGCUAUCUGAAAUAUAUAUGAACCUAGAGGCCUUGUGAAACUUCAUGAAGUGGUUCAUAAAAAGAUGAUAAGGACUGCAUUUUUGUUUGCUCCUGUACAAAUGUAUAAAUAUCCAGCUUCCACAGCAAGACAUGGACCAAGAUUGUUGCACAUAAGAGGUUAAAACUCACUGCAUUAAGGAUAGAGCUUCCCAUUCCUAUGUAAAGGGAGGGUUGAAACAUCUUUAUAAUGAGGUAGUCAAAUGUAUAGUUACAGGAAGCACAUGGCUACCAUUUUAGAACAGCUUCAUGGUUUGUUUUCAGGUACAAUUUAUUUGUGGUAAACCAAAAUCAUAAAUUUUAUAGGUUAAGGUAGCUGAAAUACCAUCCUUGUGGUAGCCCCUCCUAGCUUUUGCCACUCUUUGAGGAACAUUCAGUAGGUGUAAGAGGACCUUCUCCAUGGCUGCAGAAUCUACAUUGAAUAAGAUUGUUCUUUUUUUUCUCCUGCCUGCCAGUUAGCCAAGAUUUCUGUUCAGGCAGGCCUUUGGAAAUUAAAUGGUUGCUAUAAACACGGGUCUUAGGUGGAUGUUUUCCUUGCAUUUUAAUGAAUCUGCUUAACAUUUCAGUUAUUAGUUUUGUUUUAACUUGUUAGGCCGUUGGAGUGCCAUUUUUGGACAGAAAAGCAGUGGAACAGAUAACAUUCUUCCAAUAGCCUGGAAGAAGGAAGAGCCCUCCCUCCAAUCCAUCUGCCUUGGUCCAGGCCUCAGAGGGAGAGAAGAACCACUGGACCUCAUCCCCUUUCCCUCCACCAUUGCCUUCU